rnacentral:rRNA from 1 species
AGCCUGAUGCAGCGACGCCGCGUGAGGGAUGACGGCCUUCGGGUUGUAAACCUCUUUCAAUAGGGACGAAGCGCAAGUGACGGUACCUAUAGAAGAAGGACCGGCCAACUACGUGCCAGCAGCCGCGGUAAUACGUAGGGUCCGAGCGUUGUCCGGAAUUACUGGGCGUAAAGAGCUCGUAGGUGGUUUGUCGCGUUGUUCGUGAAAACUCACAGCUUAACUGUGGGCGUGCGGGCGAUACGGGCAGACUAGAGUACUGCAGGGGAGACUGGAAUUCCUGGUGUAGCGGUGGAAUGCGCAGAUAUCAGGAGGAACACCGGUGGCGAAGGCGGGUCUCUGGGCAGUAACUGACGCUGAGGAGCGAAAGCGUGGGGAGCGAACAGGAUUAGAUACCCUGGUAGUCCACGCCGUAAACGGUGGGUACUAGGUGUGGGUUUCCUUCCUUGGGAUCCGUGCCGUAGCUAACGCAUUAAGUACCCCGCCUGGGGAGUACGGCCGCAAGGCUAAAACUCAAAGAAAUUGACGGGGGCCCGCACAAGCGGCGGAGCAUGUGGAUUAAUUCGAUGCAACGCGAAGAACCUUACCUGGGUUUGACAUGCACAGGACGCUGGUAGAGAUAUCAGUUCCCUUGUGG